rnacentral:rRNA from 1 species
CCCUUAGAUGUUCUGGGCCGCACGCGCGCUACACUGAUGCAUUCAACGAGUCUAAAACCUGCUCUGAUAGGGGUGGGUAAUCUUUUGAAUGUGCAUCGUGAUUGGGAUAGAUGAUUGAAAUUUUUCAUCUUCAACGAGGAAUGCCUAGUAAACGCAAGUCAUCAGCUUGCAUUGAUUACGUCCCUGCCCUUUGUACGCACCGCCCGUCGCUCCUACCGAUUGAAUGAUCCGAUGAAUAUCAUGGAUUGAGGAUGCAAGUAGGUUCACCUAUCUUCAUCUUCGAGAAGUGAAGUAAAUCUUAUCAUUUAGAGGAAGGAGAAGUCGUAACA